GGGUCCCUGCGGCACCGGGACCGGGGUGGGCUCAAGGCCCUCCACGAUCUGCGGGUUGUAGGUGCCCUCGUACGACUCCGGGGAGACCUGC
rnacentral:tRNA from 1 species